rnacentral:lncRNA from 1 species
AAACUUCCUGCUUCUAUUCGUUGACCACAGAGUGGUACCUGGAGAUAUGUCGCGGGGGUCAGGAGACCUUGGGGACGUCAGGUGGGGUGCUAUUUCCCAAAACCAAGCUUGACCAAUCCCGGCCCAACCCGGGCAUAGUCAGUCAGUGAGAACCUGUGAUGUACCUAAACAGGCGAGCUCCUGGCAGUCAACAGAUAAAAGGAACAAAGACCACAAAGCAAGGAGGCUUGUGUGGUGGCUGGCCAGCUGUGAAUCUUGUGUGAUAUAUGGGUUAUGGCCUCUGGUAAUCGAUUACCAAGGGUGGGUAAUCGAUUACAAGGCUUAAAAAUG